rnacentral:misc_RNA from 1 species
GAUGAAGAACGUAGCGAAAUGCGAUAAGUAAUGUGAAUUGCAGAGUUUUGUGAAUCAUCGAAUCUUUGAACGCACAUUGCGCCCCUUGGUAUUCCAUGGGGCAUGCCUGUUCGAGCGUCAUUUGUACCCUCAAGCUUUGCUUGGUGUUGGGUGUUUGUCCUCUCCUUUGCGUUUGGACUCGCCUUAAAGCAAUUGGCAGCCAGUGUUUUGGUAUUGAAGCGCAGCACAUUUUGCGAUUCUAGCCGAUAAUACUUGCGUCCAUAAGCCUUUUUUAACUUUUGACCUCGGAUCAGGUAGGGAUACCCGCUGAACUUAAGCAUAUCAAUAAGCGGAGGA